AGAGUUUGAUUCCUUGGCUCAGAAUUUGAACGCUGGCGGCAUUGCCUUACACAUUGCAAGUCGAACGGUAACAGGGUCUUCGGAACGCUGACGAGUGGCGAACGGGUGAGUAAUACAUCGGAACGUGCCCAGUCGUGGGGGAUAACUACUCGAAAGAGUAGCUAAUACCGCAUACGAUCUGAGGAUGAAAGCGGGGGACCUUCGGGCCUCGCGCGAUUGGAGCGGCCGAUGGCAGAUUAGGUAGUUGGUGGGAUAAAAGCUUACCAAGCCGACGAAUCUGUAGCUGGUCUGAGAGGACGACCAGCCACACUGGGACUGAAACACGGCCCAGACUCCUACGGGAGGCAGCAGUGGGGAAUUUGGACAAUGGGCGAAAGCCUGAUCCAGCAAUGCCGCGUGCAGGAUGAAAGGCUUUCGGGUUUGUAAACUGCUUUUUGUACGGAACGAAAAAGCUUUCUCCUAAUACGAGAAGGCCCAUGACGGUACCGUAAGAAAUAAGCACCGGCUAACUACGUGCCAGCAGCCGCGGUAAUACGUAGGGUGCGAGCGUUAAUCGGAAUUACUGGGGCGUAAAGCGUGCGCAGGCGGUUAUGUAAGACAGAUGUGAAAUCCCCCGGGCUCAACCUGGGAACUGCAUUUGUGACUGCAUGGCUAGAGUACGGUAGAAGGGGGGAUGGAAAUUCCGGGUUGUAGCAGUGAAAUGCGUAGAUUAUGCGGAGGAAACACCGAAUGGCGAAGGCAAUCUCCUGGACCUGUACUGACGCUCAUGCACGAAAGCGUGGGGAGCAAACAGGAUUAGUACCUGGUAGUCACGCCUAAC
rnacentral:rRNA from 1 species